AGUGAACGCUGGCGGUAGGCCUAACACAUGCAAGUCGAACGGCAGCACAGUAAGAGCUUGCUCUUACGGGUGGCGAGUGGCGGACGGGUGAGGAAUACAUCGGAAUCUACUUUUUCGUGGGGGAUAACGUAGGGAAACUUACGCUAAUACCGCAUACGACCUACGGGUGAAAGCAGGGGAUCUUCGGACCCUGCGCGAUUGAAUGAGCCGAUGUCGGAUUAGCUAGUUGGCGGGGUAGAGGCCCACCAAGGCGACGAUCCGUAGCUGGUCUGAGAGGAUGAUCAGCCACACUGGAACUGAGACACGGUCCAGACUCCUACGGGAGGCAGCAGUGGGGAAUAUUGGACAAUGGGCGCAAGCCUGAUCCAGCCAUACCGCGUGGGUGAAGAAGGCCUUCGGGUUGUAAAGCCCUUUUGUUGGGAAAGAAAAGCAGCAGGUUAAUACCCCGCUGUUCUGACGGUACCCAAAGAAUAAGCACCGGCUAACUUCGUG
rnacentral:rRNA from 1 species